AUUUAAAUAGCUUAAGUUUAGAGCAUAAUAUUGAAGAUAUUAGAGUGAUUAAUUAAUCUUUAAAAU
rnacentral:tRNA from 1 species